AUUAGACGUUCCCUUCGGGGACAUGGAUACAGGUGGAAAAUGGUUGUCGUCAGCUCGUGUCGUGAGAUGUUGGGUUAAGUCCCGCAACGAGCGCAACCCUUAUUAUCAGUUGCCAGCAUUAAGUUGGGCACUCUGGUGAGACUGCCGGUGACAAACCGGAGGAAGGUGGGGAUGACGUCAAAUCAUCAUGCCCCUUAUGACCUGGGCUACACACGUGCUACAAUGGAUGGUACAACGAGUUGCGAACUCGCGAGAGUAAGCUAAUCUCUU
rnacentral:rRNA from 1 species